UCGGGGUUGGUGGUCCUGGGUUCUAUAAGAAAGCAGGCUGAGCAAGCCAUGGGGAGCAAGACAGUAAGCAGCUCCCCUCCAUGGCCUCUGCAUCAGCUCCUGCCUCCAAGUUCCUGUACUGAGUUCCUGUCCUGACUUCCUUCAGUGAUGGACUAUGAUGUGAAGAAUAUGGCAACGUUUGGAGACAUUUUAAUUGUUAUAACCCAGAAGCAGAAGAUUUACUGUCAUCCAGUGGGUAGGCUCCUGGAUUGCUGCUAAACAUCCUACUAUGUGCAGGGUAUCUCCUACUGCAAAGAGGUCUCAAGAUGGCUGCUGCUCCUCCAGGCAUGGCAUCAGCAUUCAAAAGGAAGAAAGAAGAACCAAACCAGCAAGAAGGCUUGAGUGCAUCCAUUACUUUUUAUAACUUUUCCUGGAUGAGUCACACAGUGAGUGAUUCAUCUGUUGGCUUCAUCUAUUGGCUACAACAUGUCACAUGACUUCUAGCCACAAACGCAUCUGGUAAGAUAUAUCAAGAUGAAGAAGGUGUUCUGCCAGCCACCCGAGUUCCACCUGCCGCAUUAAGACCCCAAAUAACACAGAGAUUAAUAUUAGGUAUAAUGCUGCUGGCCAAUGACUAGGAUUUCUUAUAUGCUAACUCAGUCUUAAUUAUCAACCAUCACUACUAAUCUUUAUAUUUUAUAAGACUUAUCUUGUGGAGGACACCAGUGGAAUGCAACCUGUCUUCCUGGGAUCACAUGGCAGAUCCACAGAGAGGAGGAGGAAGAGGAAGAGAAAAGAGAGCUAUUUCCUGCUUGUCCCUGCUUAUAUUCUGAGUCUGCUAUAUCACUUCCUACCUGAAUCACAAGACUUGUCUUUACUACAAUUCCCAGAAUCUUCCUCAACUCCUAGUCCCACCUAAAUUGCUUCCUCA
rnacentral:lncRNA from 1 species